UACGAAGGGGCUAGCGUUGUUCGGAAUUACUGGGCGUAAAGCGCACGUAGGCGGAUAUUUAAGUCAGGGGUGAAAUCCCGGGGCUCAACCCCGGAACUGCCUUUGAUACUGGGUAUCUCGAGUCCGAGAGAGGUGAGUGGAAUUCCGAGUGUAGAGGUGAAAUUCGUAGAUAUUCGGAGGAACACCAGUGGCGAAGGCGGCUCACUGGCUCGGUACUGACGCUGAGGUGCGAAAAGCGUGGGGAGCAAACAGGG
rnacentral:rRNA from 1 species